GCUGGGUGUAGUGGUGCGCACCUGUAGUCCCAGCUACUUGGGAAGCUGAGACAGGAGAAUUGCUUGAACCCAGGAGGUGGAGGUUGCAGUGAGCUGAGAUCGCACCACUGCACUCCAGCCUGGGCAACAGAGCAAGACUCUGUCUCAA
rnacentral:SRP_RNA from 1 species